CGGGGGAGCACCACAAGGGGUGAAGCCUGCGGUUCAAUUGGAGUCAACGCCGGGAACCUUACCGGGAGAGACAGCAGGAUGAAAGUCAAGCUGAAGACUUUACUAGACAAGCUGAGAGGAGGUGCAUGGCCGUCGUCAGCUCGUGCCGUGAGGUGUCCUGUUAAGUCAGGCAACGAGCGAGACCCCUACUGUUAAUUGCUACCAUUCCCCUUCGGGGUGAUGGAGCUAGUUGACAGGACUGCCGCCGCUAAGGCGGAGGAAGGAAGGGGCAACGGCAGGUCAGUAUGCCCCGAAACUCCCGGGCCACACGCGGGCUGCAAUGGUAGAGACAAUGGGUCCCAAUCUCGAAAGGGGGAGGUAAUCCCCAAACUCUACCUCAGUUGUGAUUGAGGGCUGCAACCCGCCCUCAUGAAUCUGGAAUCCCUAGUAACCGCGUGUCAUCAUCACGCGAUGAAUACGUCCCUGCUCCUUGCACACACCGCCCGUCGCUUCACCCGAGUUGGGUUUGGGCGAGGUGGCGC
rnacentral:rRNA from 1 species